GACGGAGGAUGCAAGUGUUAUCCGGAAUCACUGGGCGUAAAGGGUGCGUAGGCGGGUUUUUAAGUCAGAGGUGAAAUCCUGGAGCUCAACUCCAGAACUGCCUUUGAUACUGAAAGUCUUGAGUAUGGGAGAGGUGAGUGGAACUGCGAGUGUAGAGGUGAAAUUCGUAGAUAUUCGCAAGAACACCAGUGGCGAAGGCGGCUCACUGGCCCAUUACUGACGCUGAGGCACGAAAGCGUGGGGAGCAAACAGG
rnacentral:rRNA from 1 species